rnacentral:snRNA from 1 species
AUCGCUUCUCGGCCUUUUGGCUAAGAUCAAGUGUAGUAUAUUGUAAAUAGAUUUAAAAUAUAUAAAUAAGGCGAUUUCUCUUACAUACAUCCACUGAGAAUACUUCUACCAGGACCAAGAAGCAAAUACUUCUCGCAAUAAUUAGUUGGACACUUCAUGAAAU